rnacentral:rRNA from 1 species
CCUACGGGAGGCAGCAGUGAGGAAUAUUGGUCAAUGGGCGAGAGCCUGAACCAGCCAAGUCGCGUGAGGGAGUACUGCCCUAUGGGUUGUAAACCUCUUUUGUCGGGGAGCAAAAGCCGGACGUGUCCGGCUGUGAGAGUACCCGAAGAAAAAGCAUCGGCUAACUCCGUGCCAGCAGCCGCGGUAAUACGGAGGAUGCGAGCGUUAUCCGGAUUUAUUGGGUUUAAAGGGUGCGUAGGCGGAUUUUUAAGUCAGCGGUAAAAUCGUGGGGCUCAACCCCAUCCAGCCGUUGAAACUGGGGAUCUAGAGUGUGCGAGAGGUAUGCGGAAUGCGUGGUGUAGCGGUGAAAUGCAUAGAUAGCACGCAGAACCCCGAUUGCGAAGGCAGCAUACCGGUGCACAACUGACGCUCAGGCACGAAAGCGUGGGUAUCGAACAGGAUUAGAUACCCCGGUAGUC